ACCAUAAUUCCACAGGAAUGUCCCAUGCAGGGUCAACAGAAUCAGCGGCUAUGUGUAAACUCAGAAUAAAUUCCCUGGUGACCACUGAGCAUUGAAAACUGCAUGCUGCUCCUUCCAAAAAGAAUCAAGAAUUAAAAAUCUUCAAGUAUUUACAUACACCAGACCCAACUAAUUUAAAAUAAAACAUGUUGCAAUUACGUCUUGUGUUAAAAAUCUGAAUGUUUAAAAAAGCAAGACAAAAAACAAAACACAAAAGCACUACAUGUGAGAUGCCACACAGCCAUACUGGCUCACCACAAGAACAGCACCCAAGUUUAGUGGAGUUUAGGGGAGGUUAGUGGAGUUUAGUGGAGUUUAGGGGAGGUUAGUGGAGUUUAGGGGAGGUUAGUGGAGUUUAGGGGAGGUUAGUGGAGUUUAGGGGAGUUUAGUGGAGUUUAGUGGAGGUUAGUGGAGGUUAGUGGAGUUUAGUGGAAGUUCGAGGAGGUUAGUGAAGGUUAGUGGAGUUUAGGGGAGGUUAGUGAAGGAUAGUGGAGUUUAGUGGAAGUUAGAGGAGGUUAGUGGAGUUUAGUGGAGGUUAGUGGAGGUUAGUGGAGUUCAGGGAGGUUAGUGGAGUUUAGUGGAAGUUAGAGGAGGUUAGUGGCGUUUAGGG
ensembl:lncRNA